GAGCGCUAGAGCAAAAUGAGUCCUGCAACGGGAAUGGAAUGCCUGGAUUUGGAAGAGCCAGCGUAAGGAAGUAUCACAGUUGGGAAGCAUCCUGGCCGUGCCAUGGUAAAGGGAAGCUGGCAGCCUGGGCUGAUGGAGAUUGUAUCUGGUGCUGGAGAAGAUUGGCUCCCACAGUCAGUGAGAAAGGAGUUUUACUCACCCAGCACCCAGAUGAACUUUGGUGAAGAGAGGAGGUGGAGAGGUCAAGGAGCCUUGCUUUUUCACUUGCAAUUAUGGCACUUCCUUUGGAAAUGGUCCUGAGGAUUGAUUGGUGAAGACAGAGAGAAUCUUGGCUCCGACUGAGCUCACAUUCUAAAAGAGAAAAUGGAAAAUAACCAUGAAAAACAAAUGAAUGGGAUCACUUCAGAUAUCGGAAAGAUCAUGAACUGAGACUCAUGCGGAAGGAAGACAAGACUGAGAAUCAGUUAGGAUCCCACCCUCAGCUUAGACCAGAAUACUCUGCCAAUCAGCUCUCUGGCCGCAGAUGGAGUCUCUCUCUGUUGCUCAGGCUGGAAUGCAGUGG